rnacentral:tRNA from 1 species
AAAUUUUCAACUAAAUCCUCAUUGGUGUAGUCGGUAACACUCUAGUCUUUCACACUGGUACCUCGGGUUCGAUUCCCGAAUGGGGAGCUUU